rnacentral:rRNA from 1 species
CGUACACUCCUGCGGGAGGCAGCAGUGGGGAAUAUUGCACAAUGGGCGCAAGCCUGAUGCAGCCAUGCCGCGUGUAUGAAGAAGGCCUUCGGGUUGUAAAGUACUUUCAGCGGGGAGGAAGGCGAUAAGGUUAAUAACCUUGUUGAUUGACGUUACCCGAAGAAGAAGCACCGGCUAACUCCGUGCCAGCAGCCGCGGUAAUACGGAGGGUGCAAGCGUUAAUCGGAAUUACUGGGCGUAAAGCGCACGCAGGCGGUCUGUCAAGUCGGAUGUGAAAUCCCCGGGCUCAACCUGGGAACUGCAUCCGAAACUGGCAGGCUAGAGUCUUGUAGAGGGGGGUAGAAUUCCAGGUGUAGCGGUGAAAUGCGUAGAGAUCUGGAGGAAUACCGGUGGCGAAGGCGGCCCCCUGGACAAAGACUGACGCUCAGGUGCGAAAGCGUGGGGAGCAAACAGGAUUAGAAACCCUGGUAGUCCCAUGAU